AUUGAACGCUGGCGGCAUGCUUUACACAUGCAAGUCGAACGGUAACAGGCCUUCGGGUGCUGACGAGUGGCGAACGGGUGAGUAAUGUAUCGGAACGUGCCCAGUAGUGGGGGAUAAAUACUCGAAAGAGUAGCUAAUACCGCAUAAUAUCUGCGGAUGAAAGUGGGGGACCGUAAGGCCUCAUGCUACUGGAGCGGCCGAUAUCAGAUUAGGUAGUUGGUGGGGUAAAGGCUCACCAAGCCUACGAUCUGUAGCUGGUCUGAGAGGAAGACCAGCCACGCUGGGGCUGGGAGCCGGCCCAGACUCCUACGGGGGGCGGCAGUGGGGAAUUUUGGACAAGGGGCGCAAGCCUGAUCCAGCAAUGCCGCGUGCGGGAUGAAGGCCUUCGGGUUGUAAACUUCUUUUGUACAGAGCGAAAAAGCUCUCUCUACUACAGGGGGUGAAUGACGGUACUGUAAGAAUAAGCACCGGCUAACUACGUGCCAGCCGCCGCUGUAAUAC
rnacentral:rRNA from 1 species